rnacentral:rRNA from 1 species
AGUGAACGCCGGCGGUAGGCCUAACACAUGCAAGUCGAACGGCAGCACAGUAAGAGCUUGCUCUUACGGGUGGCGAGUGGCGGACGGGUGAGGAAUACAUCGGAAUCUACUUUUUCGUGGGGGAUAACGUAGGGAAACUUACGCUAAUACCGCAUACGACCUACGGGUGAAAGCAGGGGAUCUUCGGACCUUGCGCGAUUGAAUGAGCCGAUGUCGGAUUAGCUAGUUGGCGGGGUAAAGGCCCACCAAGGCGACGAUCCGUAGCUGUACUGAGAGGAUGAUCAGAGACAGUGGACCUGAGACAAGGGCCAAACACAAACGGGAGGCAGCAGUGGGGAAUAUUAGAGAAUGGGCGCAAGCAUGAUGCAGUAAUACCGCGUGAGUGAAGAAGGAAUUAGGGUUGUAAAGCCCUUUUAUUGGGAAAGAAAAAAAGCAGGUUAAUACCCCGCUGGUCUGACGGUACCCAAAGAAUAAGCACCGGCUAACUUCGUG